rnacentral:rRNA from 1 species
CGAACGAAUAACCCGCCUUCGGGCGGUCAUAGAGUGGCGAACGGGUGAGUAACACGUGACCAACCUGCCCCGCACCCCGGGACAACCGCCGGAAACGGCGGCUAAUACCGGAUACUCCGGGCCUCGCGCAUGCGCGGCCCGGGAAAGCCCAGACGGUGCGGGAUGGGGUCGCGGCCCAUUAGGUAGUAGGCGGGGCAACGGCCCACCUAGCCUGCGAUGGGUAGCCGGCCUGAGAGGGCGAUCGGCCACAUUGGGACUGAGAUACGGCCCAGACUCCUACGGGAGGCAGCAGUGGGGAAUAUUGCGCAAUGGGGGCAACCCUGACGCAGCAACGCCGCGUGCGGGACGAAGGCCUUCGGGUUGUAAACCGCUUUCAGCAGGGAAGAACCAUGACGGUACCUGCAGAAGAAGCCCCGGCUAACUACGUGCCAGCAGCCGCGGUAAUACGUAGGGGGCGAGCGUUAUCCGGAUUCAUUGGGCGUAAAGCGCGCGUAGGCGGCCCGCUAAGCGGGACCUCUAACCUGGGGGCUCAACCUCCAGCCGGGUCCCGAACUGGCGAGCUCGAGUGCGGUAGGGGCAGGCGGAAUUCCCGGUGUAGCGGUGGAAUGGCGCAGAUAU